UCAUCUUUGGCCCAUAGAUACCCAUUGGAGGGGGAAUCCUCCACUUGGCCAAAAUCCCAUUGAUGAAGAGGAUGCGGCCUUCUUCUCAUCUCUUUAUGGCGGUUUCAAUGUUCUGAAAUCAACACUUGAGCUAACUCCCACCACCUUGCUGCCACCUCCAUGGUUUGCUGUCCAACGGUGAUCCUUGAGGUCCAAGCUAGGUCCUUCAUUCCUAAAACACAUAAAAGAACCCAUCUUAAGCAGCAGCAUAUUCUCAUUAAUAUUAAAUGAAGUACCGCGGAACGAAAGUACCUGAUAAUUUAGUUGUCGUGCACGACCUCUAGUAAUUGGUCCAUGUAUCUCCGGUACUUGAGGUGUAGGUGCUGUAGGGGCUGUGGUUGUAUCAUUACUUGGGAUGUCCUCAUCA
rnacentral:lncRNA from 1 species